rnacentral:rRNA from 1 species
GGGUUGUGAGGUUAAGCGACUAAGCGUACACGGUGGAUGCCCUGGCAGUCAGAGGCGAUGAAGGACGUGCUAAUCUGCGAUAAGCGUCGGUAAGGUGAUAUGAACCGUUAUAACCGGCGAUUUCCGAAUGGGGAAACCCAGUGUGUUUCGACACACUAUCAUUAACUGAAUCCAUAGGUUAAUGAGGCGAACCGGGGGAACUGAAACAUCUAAGUACCCCGAGGAAAAGAAAUCAACCGAGAUUCCCCCAGUAGCGGCGAGCGAACGGGGAGCAGCCCAGAGCCUGAAUCAGUGUGUGUGUUAGUGGAAGCGUCUGGAAAGGCGCGCGAUACAGGGUGACAGCCCCGUACACAAAAAUACACAUACUGUGAGCUCGAUGAGUAGGGCGGGACACGUGGUAUCCUGUCUGAAUAUGGGGGGACCAUCCUCCAAGGCUAAAUACUCCUGACUGACCGAUAGUGAACCAGUACCGUGAGGGAAAGGCGAAAAGAACCCCGGCGAGGGGAGUGAAAAAGAACCUGAAACCGUGUACGUACAAGCAGUGGGAGCACGCUUAGGCGUGUGACUGCGUACCUUUUGUAUAAUG